AAUACAAGUUCAACAAAUAAUCUGAAGUUUUUAAGUGUGAUAGUAUAAAUAUGAAUUUCUAUAUGUAUUUAUUCGUUUUGAUAUUUUUCAUUGAUCGUUUUGCUAAAUACAAUCUUAAAAUUCACUUUACCGUAAGUUCAAUUGCGCAUCUGGAUUGAGUUGGCUGAAUAAAGUUUUAUUCUGUUAUUUCAUUGGUUCUUUGAUUUCAUUGGUCAUUUCAUAUUUCUUUAUCCAAUAAUAGUAUUUCAGUAUAUGUAUAAAUCUACAGCGCUUACCUAUGUAGUUAGAGCAGUAAUACGUUUUGAAGAGUUACAACCAGCUGAUAUCUUCCGCAUCUUAUGGUCAAUGCCUUUAUUUUCUACUGAAUAAAUUAAUAAAACCAACAUCUGCCUUUCUGUUCGGUUACAUAAGUAAAAAAAUACAUUGGUUUUUACUUGAUUAGGCUACUUUCUUCCGCUUUGAACAGACAGUUGAACAACAAGAAGCAGAUAUAAAGCUUGACUUAACACGGCGAUAAAUCAAACUCCAUUUCUGUUCAAGUUCACAGCUGAAAACGAAAGUAUAUCAUAUGACCGGUUGGAAAAUAAAUCGCUAUCUAUUGUGCUCAGUAAAUCACUUAAUGAUGCAUUUAUUAGUGUUAUCAUGUCAACUACCUACAAUGGAAAUACCCCAGACCCCCACGCCGGUAACAACCAACCACCAGUGACGGAAUGAAAGCCGAUGGGGGGAGGACCACUAUUUUUCAAAAAGAUGGCCACCCAAAGCGCCGUUACCGAACCAAUACAGAUGGUGACUGGAGGAGAAAAUACUAUCAUUAAUAAAAAGCAGGGAGGAAAACAUUCUUCGCUUUUACAACUUUUAUAAAAGUUUGGGAAUUCAACUUUUAAGAAAAAUAAAGAGUAGGACAAACACUGAUCCCUGGGCACACCAGAGGUGGAGUCACGUGCAUAGGAGGAGCAAGUGCCGCCUAUCGACCGGGUCAUUCCCUCUAUAUGAGGUCGUUUGUAGUCACAUGAUGAAAAAUAAUUUGACGCAAUUAGGAAGUACUACAAAUACAUUGUACAUGUAUAAUGAUAAUUUUCAACAUUUUCCAUAUGUCUUCCUGAUCAACAAGGACGAAGGAAGUUAACAGUUUAUCUUGAUUUCAUUUAAACCUUACCACUAUCAGAAUUUGAAUUGACGAGGGUUUCACUAAUUAAAUGCAUUGCAGAAUGUACCGCGAUCUGCAAAAUUUCGAUUUUAUUAAUUCAGUCUAAAAUGUGAAAUUACAUGUACUUCUUUACUUCA